UUCGCAAUGCCCGAAAGGGUGACGAAGCGACGCCGCGUGAGCGAAGAAGGCCCUAGGGUUGUAAAGCUCUGUCAGGGGUUAAGAAAUGUAAAUAGGUUAAUACCCUGUUUAUUUGACAAAAGCCCCAAAGGAAGCCACGGCUAACUCUGUGCCAGCAGCCGCGGUAAUACAGAGGUGGCAAGCGUUGUUCGGUAUUAUUGGGCGUAAAGAGCACGUAGGUGGUUUUGUAAGUCAGAUGUGAAAGCCUUCUGUUCAAAGGAAGAACGGCAUCUGAAACUGCAAAUCUUGAGUGUAGGAGGGGAGAGUGGAACUUCUGGUGGAGCGGUGAAAUGCGUAGAUAUCAGAAGGAACGUCGGCGGCGAAAGCGACUCUCUGGCCUAUUACUGACACUGAGUGUGCGAAAGUUAGGGGAGCAAACGGGAUUAGAUACCCCGGUAGUCCUAACCGUAAACGAUGGGCACUAAGUAGAGGGGUUUU
rnacentral:rRNA from 1 species